GACGAACGCUGGCGGCGUGCCUAAUACAUGCAAGUAGGACGCAGUUGCGAACGGGUGAGUAACGCGUAGGUAACUGCCUAUUAGAGGGGGAUAACUCUUGGAAACGAUAGCUAAUACCGCAUACUAGUAGAUGGACCUGCGUUGUAUUAGCUAGUAGGUAGGGUAAUGGCCUACCUAGGCAACGAUACAUAGCCGACGUGGGGGGGUGAUCGGCCAAACUGGGCCUGAGACACGGCCCAGACUCCUACGGGAGGCAGCAGUAGGGAAUCGUCGGCAAGGGGGGGAACCCUGACCGAGCAACGCCGCGUGAGUGAAGAAGGUUUUCGGAUCGUAAAGCUCUGUUGGUAAGGAAGCGGUACUUAACCAGAAAGGGACGGCUAACUACGUGCCAGCAGCCGCGGUAAUUC
rnacentral:rRNA from 1 species